CUUUAAAAGUUGCCAUCCCCUUCUGCGCGGUCACGCCGAGCCAGCGCCUGGGCCUGGAACAGGGCGGUAGUCCCCCAGCUUCGCCCACCACCUCUCUACCAUGGACCCCCGCAAAGUGAACGAGCUUCGGGCCUUUGUGAAAAUGUGUAAGCAGGACCCGAGCGUUCUGCACACCGAGGAAAUGCGCUUCCUGAGAGAGUGGGUGGAGAGCAUGGGGGGUAAAGUACCACCUGCUACUCAGAAAGCUAAAUCAGAAGAAAAUACCAAGGAAGAAAAACCUGAUAGUAAGAAGGUGGAGGAAGACUUAAAGGCAGACGAACCAUCAAGUGAGGAAAGUGAUCUAGAAAUUGAUAAAGAAGGUGUGAUUGAACCAGACACUGAUUCUCCUCAAGAAAUGGGAGAUGAAAAUGCAGAGAUAACAGAGGAGAUGAUGGAUCAGGCAAAUGAUAAAAAAGUGGCUGCUAUUGAAGCUCUUAAUGAUGGUGAACUCCAGAAAGCCAUUGACUUAUUCACAGAUGCCAUCAAGCUGAAUCCUCGCUUGGCCAUUUUGUAUGCCAAGAGGGCCAGUGUCUUCGUCAAAUUACAGAAGCCAAAUGCUGCUAUCCGAGACUGUGACAGAGCCAUUGAGAUAAAUCCUGAUUCAGCUCAGCCUUACAAGUGGCGAGGGAAAGCACACAGACUUCUAGGCCACUGGGAAGAAGCAGCCCAUGAUCUUGCCCUUGCCUGUAAAUUGGAUUAUGAUGAAGAUGCUAGUGCAAUGCUGAAAGAAGUUCAACCUAGGGCACAGAAAAUUGCGGAACAUCGGAGAAAGUAUGAGCGAAAACGUGAAGAGCGAGAGAUCAAAGAAAGAAUAGAACGAGUUAAAAAGGCUCGAGAAGAGCAUGAGAGAGCCCAGAGGGAGGAAGAAGCCAGACGACAGUCAGGAGCUCAGUAUGGCUCUUUUCCAGGUGGCUUUCCUGGGGGAGUGCCUGGUAGUUUUCCCGGAGGAAUGCCUGGAAUGGGAGGGGCCAUGCCUGGAAUGGCUGGAAUGCCUGGACUCAAUGAAAUUCUUAGUGAUCCAGAGGUUCUUGCAGCCAUGCAGGAUCCAGAAGUUAUGGUGGCCUUCCAGGAUGUGGCUCAGAACCCAGCAAAUAUGUCAAAAUACCAGAGCAACCCAAAGGUUAUGAAUCUCAUCAGUAAAUUGUUAGCCAAAUUUGGAGGUCAAGCGUAAUGCCCUUCUGAUAAAUAAAGCCCUUGCUGAAGGAAAAGCAACCUAGAUCACCUUAUGGAUGUCGCAAUAAUACAAACCAGUGUACCUCUGAUCUCAUCAAGAGAGCUGGGGUGCUUUGAAGAUAAUCCCUACCCCUUUCCCCCAAAUUCAGCUGAAGCAUUUUACAGUGGUUUGCCAUUAGGGUAUUCAUUCAGAUAAUGUUUUCCUACUAGGAAUUACAAACUUUAAACACUUUUUAAAUAUUCAGAAUAUUUAAAACAAAUUUAAAGGGUCUGUUAAUUCUUAUAUUUUUCUUUACUAAUCAUUUUGGAUUUUUUUUCUUUGAAUUGGGCAGGGAAGAUAUGUAUGGAAGAUUAUUGCUCUAAUUUGAGUGAAAUAAAAGUUACUAGUGCGAGGCAAACAUAAAAAAAAAAAAAAAAA